rnacentral:rRNA from 1 species
UACGGGGGGAGCAAGCGUUGUUCGGAUUUACUGGGCGUAAAGGGCGCGUAGGCGGCGUAACAAGUCACUUGUGAAAUCUCCGGGCUUAACCCGGAGCGGCCAAGUGAUACUGUUGUGCUAGAGUGCGGAAGGGGCUACUGGAAUUCUCGGUGUAGCGGUGAAAUGCUUAGAUAUGACAUAGAACACCAAUUGCGAAGGCAGCUUACUACGGAUAUAUUGACACUGAGGCACGAAAGCGUGGGGAUCAAACAGG